rnacentral:rRNA from 1 species
UACGUAGGGGGCAAGCGUUGUCCGGAAUCAUUGGGCGUAAGGCGCGUGUAGGCGGCCUUGUAAGUCCGUUCUGAAAGCCCGGGGCUCAACCCCGGGAGGCGGAUGGAUACUGCAAGGCUCGAGUACGGAAGAGGCGAGUGGAAUUCCCGGUGUAGCGGUGAAAUGCGCAGAUAUCGGGAGGAACACCAAUGGCGAAGGCAGCUCGCUGGGACGUUACUGACGCUGAGACGCGAAAGCGUGGGGAGCAAACAGG